rnacentral:rRNA from 1 species
UGGGGAAUAUUGCACAAUGGGCGCAAGCCUGAUGCAGCCAUGCCGCGUGUGUGAAGAAGGCCUUCGGGUUGUAAAGCACUUUCAGCGAGGAGGAAGGGUAGUGUGUUAAUAGCACAUUGCAUUGACGUUACUCGCAGAAGAAGCACCGGCUAACUCCGUGCCAGCAGCCGCGGUAAUACGGAGGGUGCAAGCGUUAAUCGGAAUUACUGGGCGUAAAGCGCACGCAGGCGGUUUGUUAAGUCAGAUGUGAAAUCCCCGCGCUUAGCGUGGGAACUGCAUUUGAAACUGGCAAGCUAGAGUCUUGUAGAGGGGGGUAGAAUUCCAGGUGUAGCGGUGAAAUGCGUAGAGAUCUGGAGGAAUACCGGUGGCGAAGGCGGCCCCCUGGACAAAGACUGACGCUCAGGUGCGAAAGCGUGGGGA